GAUGAAGAACGUAGCGAAAUGCGAUACGUAAUGUGAAUUGCAGAAUUCAGUGAAUCAUCGAAUCUUUGAACGCAUAUUGCGCUCUCUGGUAUUCCGGAGAGCAUGCUUGUUUGAGUAUCAGUAAACACCUCAACUUCCAUAUCUUUUUUGAAAUGGGAGUUGGACUUGAGUGAUCCCAACGCUUUUCCUCACCGAAAAGUGGCGGGUUACUUGAAAUGCAGGUGCAGCUGGACUUUUCUCUGAGCUAUAAGCAUAUCUAUUUAGUCUGCCUAAAAAACAGAUUAUUACCUUUGCUGCAGCCAACAUAAAGGAGAUUAGUUCUUGUGCUGACUGAUGCAGGAUUCACAAAGACAGGCUUCGGCCGACUUUGUAAACUCGAUCUCAAAUCAAGUAAGACUACCCGCUGAACUUAAGCAUAUCAAUAAGCGGAGGA
rnacentral:misc_RNA from 1 species